rnacentral:lncRNA from 1 species
GGUCAUGAUCUCACUGUUCGUGGGUUCCAGCCCCGUGUCAGGCUCUGUGCUGAUAGCUCGGAGACUGGAUCCUGCUUCGGAUUCUGUGUCUCCCUCUCUCUGCCCCUCCCCUGCUUGUUUCUCUCUGUCUCUGUCUCUCUCUCAAAAAUAAAGAAACAUAAAAAAAUUUUAAAAAAUUGCGGUUUGGGGGUAAAGCAAUCCUUCAGAAAGUUUCUAAGAACCUAUGAACUGAGGAGAUGAACUGUCUACAUCGCAUCUUUUAGGUCCGGGAGUAUUACUUGGAGCUUUUUGUUUUCAUCUUUUUAGGACAUCUCGUUAGGAUUCUGACUGUUUCCUGCACAGAACUCAGGCGAACACAAAGCAGGAUGUAUUGGCAAGAUUCAAAUACUAGCAAGCAUCAAGGGGUCUGAGGUGAAACACGGGUCUGGACUUCCCCGAUGCCCAGCCAGCCCAACUUCAGCCUGGUCAUCAGGAAGGGGAAACUGAUCGCGUUCAGCAGAGCCUUGGCCUGUUUUGGAGGCAAAAUUCACCAUGAUUCAGUGCACUGGGCCUCCUGCGAGUGUUUUCCGUGUAACCAAUGGGAAGUGGGAGAGGUGGCCCUCAUCCUGAAAGAGCUGGACAGCGACACAGACAGAGAACUGAUUUUCUGGGCUCCACACAUCAGCUUGGAGCGGAGAGAUGCUUGCUGCUCCAAGAGGCUCCACGGUGCCUGGGAGCCCUGUCCUUGUCACGUGGUUGUGUCUUAG